CCUCCUCUUUGCCGCCGCAAGAAAGAAAGAAAAACUUAAAAAGUUAGCACGCGACCACGCAUGAUUCCCUCUUCUCUCCCCACACACUUCACUCCAAUCCAAUGCACUCGUAUAUAACAAUCAAUCAUUCUUUCUCCUUCUCAUUCCAAACGCCAAUGCAAGGUUCUCAUAACUUCUUUUGCUCUGUUUCUUAAUUCCUUUGAAAAGCGCUUUGCUUUUCUAUCCUCAACUUGCUUCCGAAUUCUGAUUCGCUUCAAUAUUCCGCACUUAAUUCCAUUCAUGUCGUUUUGUUUUGUUUUAUGCUUAUUUUAUUUCCAUCAUUGUGAUUGCGAAUGCUUGCUUGGGCUUCCUCUUCCCCGUUAAUAGCGGUAUCACAUCCAAGCUCAAUAGUAAUAGCGGCUUCUCGCCGACACCGUUAAUAACGGCGGUUCUGAGCAUUGGGAACCGACACCAUUGCUUUCUGUUUCAAUUUAGUUGAAUUGAUUUGUGCCUUCUUUGGUGAUACCAGCUUCUCCGUCCUCGGCAAGGUGUCCAUGGCUGAAGAUUCAAGGAAAGGCACAUUGGAGGCUUUGGAGAGAAGAAUAGCUUUUGCUAAAGUUGAAGUUCUCCAAAAAGAAAAGAAAAACAAAAAGGCUGUAAAUGAAGAUGGGAAACCACCUAUUCCUGCAGAUUCUACUUCUAAUGAUCGUUCCCCACAUUUGUUGCAUUCAUCAUCAAUCACACCCAAGAAAGGGAAUUUCAGUUUCUCCAGUCAUACCACUUUGCAAGACAUUGAAGAUGGUCCAGCAUAUGCCCAAUUUUCUGUGACUGUAAAUGAAAAUCUGCUCACAACUAAUGAGAAGUUUUCUGCUGAAAGAGGACGUUCAAUUGAUGGCAUAUUGCACGAGCUUCUUCAGAAGGGAGAUGCAGCACAAAAGUACAUGCAAGGAUCUAGAAACAUGAAAAUUGACAAUUGGAUCCUUCUUGAUAAUUAUGUGCACGGACGGGUGCUUUCUUCUGGUUCUCAAACUAGGGCUUUGCAACUUCAUUCAAAACGCUCUAAGAAACACAUGUCUAUGAAACGGCAUAAGAAGUAUGGAUCAUUAGAACUUCCUCAAGAGUUCCAGAAAUUCGAUAUUUUCAAGCCAAUGCAUGAAAUGUGGAAAGAUUAUAUAAUGCUGCUUCUUAAAUCCACUGGGAAAAAUCAAUUGGCUCAAUGUCUCCUUGGUGCAGAUCCACAUGGUGCUUUUAUUUUAGUUGUGUAGUGUAAAAGAACCCAUUUUACUGGAAUUUGUGGCAUCAUGAUUCGUGAAACUGCAGAAGCAUUUGGGAUAGUUACUGAAGAUGAUAAAUUUCGAGUUGUUCCCAAAAAGUUUUCUGUGUUUGUAUUCCUAGUUGAUUGCUGGAAAGUCACUCUGCAUGGAGAUAAACUUAGUUCAAGAAAGGUUGGAUUAUGACAUUGGUGACAAUCCUUCAACUGUAGGUUACAUCUUCAUCCUACUGACGUCCCUUUUCUAUCAGUUUUUGAUGAUGGUGUUAUACUAGAAUGAUACUACCAUAGAUAAGUCGUUAUAGAUUUUGGUACCGCUAACUACAAGAUUGCUCUUUUUGUCUUGGGAAUUGGACACUUAAUUCCUUUUUUUAUGAUUCUUUCUUGCUUACAAAUGAAAUAGAUUAGCUAGCAUAUGUGUACAAGAACUAGGACAAAACAUUCUCUUAUGAAUUAUAUUUGCAUAGAUUGAACGGAUGGAAAUAUUCUAUUGAAGCACAUCAU